rnacentral:rRNA from 1 species
AGUGAACGCUGGCGGUAGGCCUAACACAUGCAAGUCGAACGGAAGCACAUUAAGCGCUGGCUCUUCGGGGUGCCGAGUGGCGGACGGGUGGGGAAUACACCGGAAUUUACUUUUUGGUGGGGGCUAACGAAGGGAACUUAUCCCUAAUACCGCAUCCUACUUCCGGGUGAAGGCAGGGGAGUUUCGGCCUUUGGGGGUUUAAUCGCGCCGAUGUCGGAUUAGCUAGUUGGCGGGGUAAAGGCCCACCAAGGCGACGAUCCGUAGCUGGUCUGAGAGGAUGAUCAGCCACACUGGAACUGAGACACGGUCCAGACUCCUACGGGAGGCAGCAGUGGGGAAUAUUGGACAAUGGGCGCAAGCCUGAUCCAGCCAUACCGCAUGGGUGAAGAAGGCCUUCGGGUUGUAAAGCCCUUUUGUUGGGAAAGAAAAGCAGCAGGUUAAUACCCCGCUGUUCUGACGGUACCCAAAGAAUAAGCACCGGCUAACUUCGUG